GUGAACGCUGGCGGUAGGCCUAACACAUGCAAGUCGAACGGCAGCACAGUAAGAGCUUGCUCUUACGGGUGGCGAGUGGCGGACGGGUGAGGAAUACAUCGGAAUCUACUUUUUCGUGGGGGAUAACGUAGGGAAACUUACGCUAAUACCGCAUACGACCUACGGGUGAAAGCAGGGGAUCUUCGGACCUUGCGCGAUUGAAUGAGCCGAUGUCGGAUUAGCUAGUUGGCGGGGUAAAGGCCCACCAAGGCGACGAUCCGUAGCUGGUCUGAGAGGAUGAUCAGCCACACUGGAACUGAGACACGGUCCAGACUCCUGCGGGAGGCAGCAGUGGGGAAUAUUGGACGAUGGGGGCAAGCCUGAUCCAGCCAUACCGCGUGGGUGAAGAAGGCCUUCGGGUUGUAAAGCCCUUUUGUUGGGAAAGAAAAGCAGCAGGUUAAUACCCCGCUGUUCUGACGGUACCCAAAGAAGAAGCACCGGCUAACUUCGUG
rnacentral:rRNA from 1 species